AUGAUAUAUCAGGUGGUGCCAGCCCUUUCCAAAUUAACAAGCUCUCGAGAACCAGUCUUUGAAAGAGGCAAGAUGCUGCCCAUCAGCUGCUCAGUGAAAUGGGACCGUGUGUGUGGCUGUGCUCCAGCACCCUGCUGUUUGGAUGCUCGGAAUGGGAUGCCUUCCACCUUGAGUCGGCUGAUGAAUGGAAUAAGGGAAUGCCCCUUUGAAUCACCAGCAGUGACCACAAAAAGGCAGAGGCUGGCUGUUCCAGCCCUGGCAUGCCAACUCUGCUUUUGAAGCCCUGGGAACAUGGAGGUGUGGCCCUGAGCACAGGAGCUGGACAGGAACACUUCUCUCACAUUGUCCUCAGCGAGGGAAUGACAUCUAAUUGCUGCCAUUGUUCCCAGGCACGAGGCUGCACCAGCAUCACCAGUAUUAGUAGGUAACAUGCAACACUAUUGCACAAAAUGCUGCCGUUGCUGAUGGAAUAGCAAUCAAUAAAUGCUGCUUGCUCUGCUCA
rnacentral:lncRNA from 1 species